rnacentral:lncRNA from 1 species
AGAAAAUGGUUGUUGGGUCUUCAUCUACUCUGCUUCGACCAUAAUCCUGAAGACCAAUAGGGCGGAAUACCCUUCUUCAGUCAAUCAGGAAAAUGGCUGUUGGGUCUUCAUCUACUCUGCUUCGACCAUAAUCCUGAAGACCAAUAGGGCGGAAUACCCUUCUUCAGUCAAUCAGGAAAAUGGCUGUUGGGUCUUCAUCUACUCUACUUCGACCAU